UGUGCUAGUUUCUUCAAUAUGCUAAAACUGGAAUGACAGAGAAGAUCAACAUGGCCCCUGUACAAUGUUGGCCAAUUCUUUGAAGCAUUACAUGUUUAU
ensembl:snRNA U6 U6 spliceosomal RNA